rnacentral:rRNA from 1 species
UAAUACGGAGGGUGCAAGCGUUGUUCGGAAUUAUUGGGCGUAAAGCGCGUGUAGGCGGUCUGUUAAGUCUGAUGUGAAAGCCCGGGGCUCAACCCCGGAAGUGCAUUGGAUACUGGCAGACUUGAGUACGGGAGAGGGAAGUGGAAUUCCGAGUGUAGGAGUGAAAUCCGUAGAUAUUCGGAGGAACACCGGUGGCGAAGGCGGCUUCCUGGACCGAUACUGACGCUGAGACGCGAAAGCGUGGGGAGCAAACAGGAUUAGAUACCCUGGUAGUCCACGCCGUAAACGAUGGGUACUAGGUGUCGCGGGUAUUGACCCCUGCGGUGCCGAAGCUAACGCAUUAAGUACCCCGCCUGGGGAGUACGGCCGCAAGGCUA